ACCAAACAUACUUUCUAAUGGGUGGCACUAGCCAAUAUCGAUGCUUGCAGAUAGCGUCCCACAUCCGCUCCUCCCACGGUUGACUGCCCAACACAGCAUGUCUAGUGUGAAACAAGGCACUCAAGACUCGACUGGUCGGAAGAUGCUGGGGAGCACCCAUAGCGGGCUCCAACUCGCACUUGCAUGCGUGCAACACUGCAGAAGAUCACCGAUACCAGGCCACUAUCGCAAGUUUGGAGCAAUGGAGAUUCUGCGGUAAUGAAUAGGAAGACGUGGGGAUCGUAGCCAAGCAUUCGGUGUGAGCCUGUGGGGAACGGUCUCGAGUGCAGGUUUUGGUGACAGUAGCAAAUAUUUAAGUGAGAACAUUGAGGACUGAAGUAGAGAAGGGUCCCAUGUGGACAGCAAUUGGGCAUCGGCUAGCGGGCCCUAAGCGAAAGCAUAGCUGCGGGAAUUUCGGGGCUUUGCUGCCCUCGUAGUUCGCGAAAGGGAGCCGGGAUAAUAUUCCUGAGCCAAAACGCUGAUACGUUACGGUGGCGUGAAUGAAAUCGUCGACGCAGGCGGGUGCAACGGGAAGCGUUGUCUUUGCUUGUUAACAACCUCUUCACAUAUAUAUCCUGCAAUCAGACUGUAUGGGGACAGGUUUGAGAGGUUGGUAGAGUUUCCUGGCUUUCUGGGAGUCCGGUUAGAUUUCCCUAGCAUCCUCUCUGAUACAUCCUUGCUUGAGCAUAGUGAAGAAAACAAACCUACCGCCUUUUUGUGCAGUGCAUACGCCUAUC
rnacentral:ncRNA from 1 species